UACAGAGGGUGCGAGCGUUAGUCGGAAUUACUGGGCGUAAAGGGUGCGUAGGUGGUUGCAUAAGUUAGGUGUGAAAGUCCUGGGCUUAACCUGGGGACUGCGCCUAAGACUGUGUGGCUAGAGUACUGUAGAGGAAGGUGGAAUUUCCAGUGUAGCGGUGAAAUGCGUAGAUAUUGGAAGGAACAUCGGUGGCGAAGGCGGCUUACUGGGUCUCUUCUGACGCUGAGAUACGAAAGCUAGGGGAGCGAAGGGG
rnacentral:rRNA from 1 species